AUGGCUGACAAGUGCGGCAACUGCGACUGUGCCGACAAGACCCGGUGCGUGAAGAAGGGCGACAGCUAUGGCGUCGUCAUGGUUGACACCGAGAAGAGUCCUGAUAGUAUUUGCAAAUUAUGUUGUAGAUCAAUAGCUCGCGUUGUAGCUUCCCUAUGUUUUUUUAUAUGUUCCUAG
rnacentral:rRNA from 1 species